CAUUCUUUGAAUUUUUGAUUUGACAGGUGGUAAUUUCUUUAGGGUUGGGUUAAUGACAUAGAGUCUAAAGUGAUAUAUCACUAACUUUGAUGUGUGAUUUUGUGAUAUCUUGGUAAUAUUGAUUCACUGAGGUAUUUAGCUCUUCCAAGUGUCAAAACACUUCAGUAUAUAAUAUCAAACAAGUAUAAAAGAACAUUCAUUAAUACAGUCUCAUCAGGAAAAAUGAUUGGAUGUUAAAAGCUUAAAGUUAUCUAAAUGAAGAAUUUCACUUGAAUGCUAUUUUUUUUAAUUCUACAUCAUGUACAACCAGAAGGAUGAGAAAUUAUACUCCAACUAUGUAAGAUGUAUCAAAGUGCAUUCUACUGUCAUGUGUAACUGAUUAGAAUAAAUAAAGGAAAGAAAAAAUACUGCC
rnacentral:lncRNA from 1 species